AAAGUAUAGAGAAAAUAAGAGAGAAAGAAGAAGAGUAUUCUGUUACUACACUACAGCAGUUUUCAAUCUCCUACUAAGGUAAAGGAUAUUAUUUGUUGUACCCGUAAGGGGUAUUAUUUCUUUCUUUCGUCUUCAUGAAGAGAACUUCUGUUAUUCCAUUCUUUAUUACUCUUUUGGAAUAACCUGUAUACGCGGCAUACCCUAUACAUAACCUGUAUACGCGACAUACCCUAUACUUGGCAAAAUUCUUCUGUUAUUCCAUUCUUUAUUAUUCUGUUGGAAUAACCUGUAUACGCGGAAUACCCUAUACUUGGUGACAUUCUUUUAUUAUUCUGUCUUUAUUAUUCUGUUGGAAUAUCCUGUCUGUGUGUUUUACACCAGACCUGGUUCCGUCUUUAUUAUUCUGUCUUUAUUACUCUGUUGGAAUAUCAUGUCUGUGUGUUUUACACAGGACCUGGUUCCGUCUUUAUGAUUCUGUUGGGAAUAACCUAUCUAUGCGGUCUCUAUCGCAUGCAUGGUGAAUCCUUCUAUUCCAUUCCUUAUUAUUCUGUUAGAAUAACUUGUCUAUGUGGAUUACCACAUGCAUGGUGAAUGAUCCUUUGUAUUUCAUUCCUUAUUAAAUUGUGGAAAAUAUCUGUUUACGUUGAUUAUGAUGAGAGUCAUAAUAAAAGUAUUAUAUUGAUGAAAAUCAGGGGUAUAUGAAGUAUUAGUAAGUGAUAUGAUGAGUUAUGUUGGUUAUUAUGUGAAAACAUGAAAGUUUCUUAGAAAUCACAAAGGGUUGAAAAAUCAGAUUUUGGUAAAAACGUAACACAAAAUUCAAUUAACCAUAUCUCCUAUUAUAUUUUGAAUUUUUGAGUGUGGUCAAGUCCUAGAGUUAGAUCUAUGAGUUACCUAACUUAUCCAAGUUGAAUCACUGGAAAAGGUGUUGUAGAUUUUCGUGUGGACUGAUUUUAGCAAAGGGGUCGGAAACUGAAAAUUUCCAAAAAGCUGCUGCCAUGAUUUUAGAGGGGCUGAUUCGGCCACUUAAAUUAUGAGAAAAAUUCCGGCCUUUUGGGACAUGAAAGUAUACGGUAUAAAGUACCUCCUGUCCAAAAAUGAGCUCAUUCUGACUUAAAAUGAGCAAGUUAUGACCAUUUCAAUAUUUAGGUUUUUCUGACGAAAAACGCUAUAACCGGAGUUCUAUAACUCCGAUGACCAUACAAUUUAAACUGGAGGCUCACGUUAACAUGUGUAAGAUCCUGCUAAGAUUUGGGAAUUUUUGGAGUUAAACUUGAGGUAGCUAAUUUCUUAAGGAAUUAACUAGAAAUUAAUUUUUGAAAAAUAGUAAAUGAAUUUUAAAAAUUUCGAGAAAAAUAUAUUUUCAUUAUGGGACUAUAUUAUGCUAAAUCCUAGAAAAAAAAAAUAUUUUUGGGACUGAUUUGGUAUUUUUCAUGAAAAUAGUUUAGCUACGAACAUAUGAGUUAAAUGUGUUAUAUGAAGUAACAAAGUUGGAAGAUAGGAUUCUAUGGCUUGGAAAUCCUAUAUAAGGUAUAUGUAGAUGGUUGAUAAGGAAUUUGAUCAUUUGUGAUAAAAUCUUAUGAGUAGGACAUGUUUGAAUGAUUAAAUGCAUUAUUUGGUAAAGUGUAAACAACUGAAAUAAAUUGUUUAUAAGUUUAAGAAGUGAUUAAAAUAUUAUUAUGAUAUUAACAAUAUUAGAUUAUGAAUUUGUUAUGUGAUUGAUAAUAUAUGGAUAAAUUUGAAGUCUUUAAUAUCUAUCCUUGUUUUCGUUUGAUUAAUGCUUAUAUCAUUGCCAUCAUCCUCAUGCUUAUAUGGUGAUAAAAGUUAUCUUUGGCUUACGUGCGAAGAUGGAUUGUUGAUUAUUAGUUUUAUGGUUGUAUAUCUUUGACUUACGUGCAGAGAUGGACUUGGUAUGAUUAUGACCAAGGAUUUUUGGUAUAGUCAUGACCAUUGAUGAUUAAUGAAUAUCCUUGGCCCGUAGUGCAUGGAUGAUUCGAUGAUGUGGUUUAUUUAUUAAACUGAGUCUCAGCGAUAAAAAUUGAUGAAAAUCUUUUAAAUCAUAAAAGAUAGUAGAUUUUAUUCUCUACAUGACUUUUCUAAUGGAUUGUUUGUUCCGCUGCAGUUAAACUUGAUGUCUAUUGUAUUUUAUCAGUUUAACAUUGUUGAAGACUAUUGAUAAUUUAUUCUGCAUUAUCUUAGUCAUAAUAUUUCUUACUAGGCUAGUUGAGCUCACCCUUUCUUUCACUGUUCUCUUCAGGAAAUGAGAAUAUAGCUGGGACUAGUCAGGGAAUGGAGUGACGGUCCAGAAGAUAGCAUUAGUAGUCCUCACUAUUCUGUGAAAUAGUGUGAUAAUAAAUGUAAUGAGAACUCCUUUGAGUUUGUAUACUGUCUAGAUGACAAUAUACGUAUUAAAACUCUUAGAUUAUGUUUUUCCAUAUUUUACACGACAGUUGUAUUAUUAAGUUGUAUUUGAAUUUUAUACCAUGUAUUUGGCGACUCAAGAUGGGUGAUGAAUACCUAAUUUUGGGGACGUCACAGUAACAGUAUACCUAUAUGGCUCACUUGACAGUGAGAUUUACAUGAGAAUCCUUGAAGGAUUGAAAAUGGCU
rnacentral:lncRNA from 1 species